rnacentral:misc_RNA from 1 species
CCCAAAUAGAGGAUUGUGAUCUUUAUCUGCUGGCUUGACGAGCUAAUAGAAGCUCAACUAUCAAGGCCUCACCAGCACCUGCAGCAGCCUCCAGCGGGGUAGACCCUGACGGCUUUGAAGCUCCACGUCUGGCUCGAAUUCAAGAUUCCUAGUUUGGUCACCACAUUCAAGCACUUCUCUUUUCUCAUCCAUAGCCCCAUCCACAACUAGC